CAUCACUCUGGCUCGCGCUGAUGUGUCGGGGUCCGUUCAUGUGCCGCGGAGCCGGGUUUCGUUCGACCCCGGCUGUUUCCCGUGCGCAGUUUUCCGCCGGUCUGUCUGAGAGUCGGUCGUGUCGUGUUGUGGACGUUUCGCACUCGGGACAUAGCGGGCGUGCUUCCGUCCGGUGACUCGGACCGUCGGCUGUCUGUGGACUGUGAGUGCGUGAAGGAGUUGAAGCUGGAACUCCCGAGUGUCGUAGCACUCAUGACAAGGACACACCAAGGUUAAUUUUAGCUGAUAGUAGGAAACUUUGGGUCUGUGAUCAUGAAGUUUUCAAGAUGUUUCAGAGGUCUGGCGCAAAUGCUGGACACCUACUCAGGGUACAAGCCGUCUCCGUUGUCCAUCAAACAGUUCAUCGAUUUCGGGACCACGGCCUCGGAGCGGCAGAGUUUCCAGUUCCUGCGUCAGGAACUGCCGGUGCGUCUGGCCAACAUCAUGAUGGAGAUUCAGCUGCUGCCGGAGAGCCUGCUGUCGCAGCCGUCCUGCCGUCGCGUGGUGGACUGGUACCAGCAGAGCUUCAGCGAGCUGCUCCAGUUCUGCGCCGCCAACCCGGAGAGCUCGGCCGCUCGAGAUGACUUCUGCGAGUCGCUGGUAAACAUCCGAAACCGGCACAGUGACGUAGUCCAGACGAUGGCGAAGGGCGUCAUCGAGCUCAAGGACAGCACGCGCGUCGACUGCUCCACGGAGAACAACAUUCAGUACUUCCUCGACCGUUUCUACAUGAACCGCAUCAGCAUCCGCAUGUUGAUCAACCAGCACACGCUGCUGUUCGGCUCCGGGCUGGGCGGCGACCCGCGGCACAUCGGCUGCAUUGACCCGUACUGCGACGUGGUUGAGGUGAUCAAGGACGCGGCAGCCAGCGCGCGCUUCCUCUGCGAGCGCUACUACCUGGCCUGUCCGGAGCUGGUCGUCUCACAGUUCAACGAGACCUUCCAGCGCUCCAACAAACACACCGACGCCCUUCCGCCGCCGAUGCAGCUGACGUACGUGCCGUCGCACCUGUACCACAUGCUGUUCGAGCUGCUGAAGAACGCCAUGCGCGCGGUGGUGGAGAACCACCCGGCCGGCGCCGAACUGCCGCCCAUCCAGCUGUACGUCAUCCUCGGCGGAGAGGACCUCGUCAUCAAGAUCUGCGACCGUGGCGGCGGCGUAUCGCGAGCCACCUCGGAGCGUCUGUUCCAGUACCUGUACUCGACGGCGCCGCGUCCUCCGCAGGACCCCAGCACUCCGCCGCUGGCAGGUGGGUCGCUGGGCUCCCGUACUGAGCACUGUGCCUUCACAGCCGGUGGGCACACCACCCAGCCUUACAUGCAGAUUCAGUCCGUACCGCUCUUUGCUGUAACCACAUCGCUUAGCUUCACUGACAGGCGGUACCUUUUAGUCUUCCCCUACCCCUCGAUCAGACCAACUGGUAGGCAGGUAACCUCUGACCUAUCAAAAAGAGAUCGUUACCGGCUUUCGUCCGUCUCUGAGCAGUCGGCUGUCGUGACGGAGCUGAUUGGAAGAAGCCCCCCGCUCCCGAGACUCUCAGGUAGGAUCUACAGCUGUGCCGACCGAUCGGGCUAUGACGUGCGCCGGGCUGGCUGCGGGUCGAUCGGGCGGCGGGCUGGGACGGUCGAGUGAAGCUCCGCUUUUAUUGGACCUUUGCACCGCUGACGUGGCACCGGGAGUCGAAAGGGCGUCUCUGCAGCGCAGAUGUAGUCGGAGGAGCGGCAGUGGGCACGUCUCACGGCGGGGGAAUGGUUUGUGUUCGAAUUCCUGCACGGUCUGGAGGCUCCAACAUUUCACUUUUGUUUAGUAGAGCGGAAUGCAGAGUGUGAUUUAUGUGAGCUGGCGUCCAAAUUGCACGUCGGUAUUGAUGGAUCGAGGAAUACGGAUGGUUCAUAUUUAACCAAACGAACACUUGUGCAUUUUUCAUUGAGUUGACACUGAAUCGAGUGUGAGUGUCUUUGAACGCAUCCAUGCAGAAACCCGACUCGAAACGCUGUUUAUUUUAUCGAGCUACAUCAUAACUGCUGCAAAGACACACGUCAGUGCUGCACGUUUUCAUCAGCUGCAUUCCUUCUCAGUACCCGCUGUUGUUUUGUUUAUCACCGCUAACGAACUAAGCGGACAACCUGUCCGUUAUCAGCAGGGGAGGGGCAGCAUAUUUACUCUGUCACCGCGGGCGGCUCGUCACGACAAACCGGAUCAAACCAGCCUACCGACCGGCCAGCGUGCCUGUUCGGUAGGGCUCGCACCCUGCCCAUCUCUGCCACCCAGUGGUGGACCGAGCCGACCCCACCUCCACGAUAUUAACCACACGGUACAAACAGGGCUGCACUUUGCACCGCGGCGGACAGACAACCGCCCGGCAGUUGUGAUAACUGGCCAGAUGAUUUAACGGGAUGUGUGUACAUAUGUUUGACUUUCGCCCUGUCGUGGAAGAGUCGCCGCGUAGUUCAAGGCUGGGCGGGUCAAAGGGCGCUGUGCUGUGGUAUUCAUCACUGAUAAAACAUGCUAGUAGUUGACACUGAAUAAAUGCGCAUCAGUUUUGAUUGGUUUGAUUAUAUGUAUCAGUUCGGCACACUGCUGUGGUGUCACUUAGUUCGACAUCAUGAUUGAUAUGAAUCGUCAUCGUUUAUUUCUCAAUUGUCCCGCCUGAUUAUCAUACUAUCCGUGUAUCUCCAUAGUCUCGCCAUUCUCGCGAUUUUAGCAUAUCGCACCAUCUGUUCCGCCGCCAGGUUACGGAUACGGGCUGCCUCUCUCCCGGCUGUACGCGCGCUACUUUCAGGGCGACCUGGUCAUCAACUCGUGCGAGGGCUACGGCACGGACGCCACCAUCUUCCUCAAGGCCCUGGCGCAGGACAUGAAGGAGGUGCUGCCGCUGUACAACCGGGCAGCGCAGCAGCACUACCAGAACGGCUCCCAGGCGCCUGACUGGUCCUCCGUGCUGGGGUCCUCCGGAGCGCGACCCCGCUCGACCCCCACCGACAGCCCUCCGAAACCGGCCUCUUCCACCGCGCGGAAACCCAGCCGGCCGGCCUCCGCCGCCGUCAGCAGUCUGAGGAACAUCAGCACGGGCAGCGCCGCCUCCGGUCAGGGCCAGAAGGCGGCGUAGCCUCGCGGCUGUCCGGCUGGGUCGGGAGAUCCCUGCAGCGUCGGGCUCCGGUCGGUUGAGCAGAUGUCGCGGAGAGGCGACUGUGGCGCCGCGGUGACUGAAGCGUCACCUGGAUUAGAGCAUCCUCCGCUCUUCUUUGACUCGCCGGCGAUCAGUGAACUGAAAUACUGUGUAAUUGUCUGUCUGUUGUCUGAACGAUCAGCUAAUGGCUGAGGACACUUGGUCUUGGAGUGGUGGAACACAGAAACGGGUCUCUGCGAGUGUGCUUUGUUUGAGCUGUGUGUCAUUGGUGUCGUUUGUACUUAGACAUGACCGGUCGCCGCUCGUGUGUCGUGUCCAUUGUCUGCAGUGAGGUGCGAUGGUCGGAAUAAGGGAGGGGCGGGGGUCCAGUGCAUGGACAGAGUGGUUGGGACGCUCCUAGGCAGAGAUCCUAUGGGAUUGUCCCUUGGUCGUCUCAGGGAGCUCGUAUCAGCGGGAGCGGGCCGAAAUCUGGCUGUUUGUAAACAAUGCAGUGACAUGUGACGGUAGCCCGUCGCAAGUACGGUUAGGCGUGUUCUUGUGAUGAGCGGAGGCUUUGUAUGGAAAUACUGGGCAAGGUUUUAAGCCGUUUGUUUAGCUUUUGGUAAUGCUUCGUGGAUCGAAGCUCAACGCCUUUUAGUUGUGUAUUUCGGUCGCUGCCUUUCUUAUGCAGGAGUGUAUUUACCAAUUAUGUAUGUAAAUUGGUUAUCGUACAGCUCCGUUCAGCAUCAACGUGAGAUCCGCCGGACUAGCUGGUGCAUCUGCGUUUCGUAGGUCGCCUAUCCGUGUCCCAACCUUCUGUAAUCGACCCUUGCCGCGAUGUUUCCUGUGUUCAGAGCUUUCCAUGAAUAACCUCGAUAUUUUUUCACUUUUCUACCAUGCCUAGCCUUGAAAUUUCAAACAUGACAUUCGCGAUCGGUGUCUUCAAGCAUACCAUCCAAUGACUUGCUCGUUGGGGUAUGGUAUUUGUCGAGUGCCCACGGGCUUUUAUUGCAUCGAUGCGAAUAUAUUUAUUUGCCGGUGUUUUACUUUGUUUGUUUGCCGUUACAUCAACACGUUGCACAUUGCGCCGCUGCAUGUGCUACGCUGCCCCGAAUCUUUGUGACUGCGGACACCAGUCUGGAUAUAUCAGAUCUUUGUAUCUUUUUAAAUGUUCAGCGACUUGAAGGAUUCCGGAACGGACUAUGUGAAGCGAAACGAGAUGACUGUAAUCGCGACGCCCCGUGUGGAUUGUACAUGAUGGUAAUACAUCCGUACAAACGUA